AUCGCUUCUCGGCCUUUUGGCUAAGAUCAAGUGUAGGAAUUGAUUCAUCUUAUAUCAUUUUGAUUACACAAAAUUGUUUCUCCAUGGCUUUUUGUCUUCAGUAGAAACCCUUGAGGGUUUUUCAAAUCCUUG
rfam:Fukomys damarensis contig134728, whole genome shotgun sequence.